GGGAGGAAAGAACUUCCUGCAGAGAGAGAGAGAGAGAGAGAGAGGGGGAAAAGGAAAGAAAGCACCGCAAAAACUGAAAGAAAUACAAAAACCCACUCUGGAGCUUCCCAAAAAAUUAAUUUCUCACUCUCCCAAACCCUAGAAUUAUUAGAGCUUCCGUUCCCUUCCAUGGAGAAUCUCUCGCAUUAUUCUCGCCAUCCCAACAGAAGUAGCACCACUACUGCUACUACCGCUUCGGUAUCCAAGAAAAAGCUCACCACCACCAGCAAUGGCACCACAACUACCACCGCCAACUUUGCCUCCGCUUCUUCCAUUUCUAUGUACGACGACGUCUUCGGCGGCCCGCCCAAGUUCGGAGCUUCAGCUCAUCAUAACACCGCCGCCACGACGCUCUCUCCCCCUCCCCCCUCUUUCGCCCGCCUCGCCUCGCCCGGAUGAUUACGCCGAGAUAUUCGGCUCCUUCCAUGCCCCACGCGCCUCCUCGAUUCCCGUGCUCGAUCUUCCUUCACUGGACGGCGAGGCGGAGGUGUUCUUCGAUGUUCGGAGCUCCAGUUUCGACUACCGGGAG
rnacentral:lncRNA from 1 species